GGAUGUGAGGGCGAUCUGGCUGCGACAUCUGUCACCCCAUUGAUCGCCAGGGUUGAUUCGGCUGAUCUGGCUGGCUAGGCGGGUGUCCCCCUCCUCCCUCACCGAUCCAUGUGCGUCCCUCCCGAAGCUGCGCGCUCGGUCGAAGAGGACGACCUUCCCCCCCGAGGAGAGGACCGGUCUUCGGUCAAGGGUAUACGAGUAGCUGCGCUCCCCUGCUAGAACCUCCAAACAAGCUCUCAAAAGAAAACCAUAUAGAGUUAAGUUUGUCUAUUUCACUUUUUAAAGCAUAAUUUUUUUAAUAUUAAAGAAAAUUUUA
rnacentral:snRNA from 1 species